AGCCAACAGGGGACUUAGCAAUGAAACGCUGAGCUAAGAAUAGGAGAGGGAUUGACAAAGGGAAAAUGGGCUAAAGAAGGGAUGGUGAUGGAGGCCGGUGAGACCAAGGAGAGGAAAAGGUGAAGAAGCAGGAUAGGCUAGAGCCCUGGGCCCUGGGGAAAAGGUGAAGCGGGCCAAAAGGUUAACCUCGGAAAAGCGGUAGUGGGUGGGGGUGGAGAGAAGAGGGCGUACUCAGCGCAUGCGCCAGACGCAAACUGCGGCGACCCUGGAGAGGCAGUCCUUUAACUGGCAUCAGCGCUGCGGCUGGAGGCGCGGGUGUCGCUCAGUUGACUGUCCAGUUCUACCUUGGUCUGUGCAGCAGCCCUAGAUCUGCGAACUCUGUGCCGCCGCUCCCUGUACCCUGUCUUGAGGCAGCAAGCGCUAAGAAUUCAUGCUACGACACUCGAUUCUGCCCGGAGGUGACACCAGAUGUGAUCAGAAGCCAUGCCAUUGGUGAAGAGGUAUAUUGAGCCCCGUCUAGCCCAGUGAGGUUACUAGAAAAUUGGGAGAGGCUUAAACCAACAUCCUGCACAUGGUUAUCAAAUCGUUGUGAAGUCUGAGAAAAUCACCUAGGAUGCCUCUAAAAAUGCAGAUUCCUGGGCAGCCAGAAACCUUGUCCUUGGUCAACACUACCACCUACCUGUCACUUAUAUUGCGGCUUCCUGCCCAGUGGGUUCAUCAGCAAGCCAGAAUGAAUCUCCUCCAUUGCCAUAGAUGUCCUUGUGAGGUGGAAGCCUUGAGUGCACAAGGAGGGGAAGCUGCUAAGGGAGAGGAAAAGCAGGCGCCCCACCGUGCAGGGGAGCCACCAGGACCAUGGGAUCAUGACCCAAGCCAGAGGCAGAUGUUUAACCGACUGAGCCACCCAGGCGCCUCUGCUUUUUAUUUUUGCGACAGCAAGUCUGUUGUGGUUCUUUUUUUCUUUUGUCUCUCUCUUUAGAUUAGCCAUUACCCCUGUAGUAGCACUCAUGCACAACUUCUGAAAAUUUUCUGCCUGAGGUCAUAAUAAUAACGGUGAUUAUCAGUUAGUUAUAAAUGCCUUUUAAUGUUCUAAGUGAGAACUUUACACAUAUUUGUUGUCUCAUUUUAACUUAACAGUAACUCUGGGAAGUAUGAUUUGUUUCUAC
rnacentral:lncRNA from 1 species